rnacentral:rRNA from 1 species
AGCGACUAGCGUGAAUCAUCGAAUCUUUGAACGCAUCUUGCGCUUCCAGGCAUUCCUGGGAGCACAUCUGGCUGAGUAUCAAUUUUCCUUCUUCCUUUCUCCAUUUCAUUAUGGAACCAAAGGAGAGAAUGAGGAUCCCAGAGACGGAAGAUUAGUUCUGGCUCUGCGUUCCUUGAAAUACAGAGAUGCACGUUUCGCGCGUGUGUCGGGACGGUUGCUUAUGCGCCUCCCCCAACCUUGCCUCGCUUGGUCACAAAGUUUGCAGAGGAAGUAGGUCCUCGGACCUGUUCGCCCUCUCUCUCUCUGGCGCGUUAGGAAAGCUACACUUUCUCACGUUGGAAGAGACGAGCGGUGCCGAAUAUUCUUUUGCAAUGGCCGUGGUGAGUGCAGGAAAACCUCAAAGACUUUGAUCUCAGCUCAGAUGGGACUACCCGCUGAACUUAAGCAUAUCAAUAAGCGGAGG